AAAACAAAAACAAAAACAAAAAACAAAACAACAACAAAAACCUAGCCGGGCGGCUCGCUGGGGGCGCGGACAAGUCCGGAAGCUCUCUCUCUUUUGGAAGGGGAGGAGGUGCGGGGGGGGGGUCUCUUCAAGCAAAGGGGAGGAAACUCGAAGUAGCUUGUUUUGCCAUCAUCACCAACAACAUCAAUAACAACACCAAAAGGUCGCCCCGUCCACCCUCGGGCCGCGCCGGGCGCAGGGUGGGGGAUGGGAGCGCGCGUCCAAGCGCCCCCGCGCUCCGCUCCAGCGGCGGGGGCGCGCCGAUGCCGGCCCUGCGCACUGUUUUGCUCCUUUUUCCUUUUUUUUUUUCUUCAAACAUUUUUUUGUUUUCGUUUUCUCUGUUUCCCUUUUCUGUUUCGGCUCUUCAUCCGUUCCGUUUCUCCUUUUUUUUUUUCUCUCUCUCUCUCUCUUUCUCUCCUUUCUCCUCUCUCGCUUCUCCCCGGGCCCCCUCCUCUCCCCGGCCCGCGCGCCCCUCUCAGUAGGUGAAGACCAGGUUGGAGAUGCUGGACUCGAGCCAGUCUCCCGAGAUCAUCUCGCUCACCUCGGGCGUGCAGUAGUCCGGGAACUCGAAGUGCGAGCCGGAGCCCGGCUCGAAGUUAAAAUCCAGGUCCCGGUCGAGCGCCGACGACGAGCUGAAGCUGCCCAGGGACAUGCUCUCAAAGUUUGAGCUGGGGUGCAGGUCGAGCAGGUCGUCCUCGAACUCGUCGUCGGAAGACGAGGAGCCCGAGGAGGAGGAGGCGGACGACGACGACGACGACGACGCGUGCGAGGGCGCGCUGGACGGGGCGGGGCAAGGCGGCACGCAGGCUGGCGUUGCCGGACUUCACCUUCUUCCUGGGCCGGUACUUGUAGUCGGGGUAGUCAGCCAUGUGCUUGAGGCGCAGCCGCUCCGCCUCCCGAAUGAAAGGGAUCUUGUCGCUGUCUUUGAGCAGCUUCCAGCGUUUGCCCAGCCGCUUGUUACCAGUCUCGGCGUUGUGCAUGUCGGGCGACUGCUCCAUGAUCUUGCGCCGCUCGAUCUGCGACCACACCAUGAAGGCGUUCAUGGGCCGCUUGAUGUGCCCGCUCGGCGUCUUGCACCAACUCGGGUCGUCGGCCUUGCCGCCCGUGGAGGCGGUGGAGCCGGGCGUGGGCGACGAGGCGAUGGCCAGCUCGAGGCCGGCGCCCGAGUCCGAGCUCUCGCCGGCCAGCAGCGCUUCCGUGUUCUCGGCGUUGUUGGUUUGCUGCACCAUGGCCCCGGCUCCGCGGGCGCCCACGCGCGCUCACACCCUCGCGGCGGCCCGGGGCGCGAUCGCCGGGCGCUGCCGGCUGCCCGGGGCCGAGCACACGCCGAGCCGAGGGUCGCGCGCCGCGGCCGAGCGGGCCCCUCCACUCCGCGCCGGGGCGGAGGUGGGCGAGGAGAGAAAAGUCCGCAAAAAGAUGCGGGGACGGAGAACUCCGCCUGUCGCGCAGGAGUUGUAGCUUCCAGGCUGGAGAGGCUCGCUCGCUCGCUCUCUCCUCCCUCUCUCUCUCUCUCUCCCCUCUCUGAGUCUCUCUCACCGACCGCGCCGCAGUUUGCUGUCUGUCGGCUCAGAGUCUGGAGACCGUGCUAA
ensembl:lncRNA